rnacentral:rRNA from 1 species
AAUCAACGCUGGCGGCGUGCCUAACACAUGCAAGUCGAACGCGAAAGCCCUUUCGGGGGUAAGUAGAGUGGCGUCCGGGUGAGUAACACGUAGGUAAUCUGCCUUCGGGUGGGGAAUAACCAGUCGAAAGAUUGGCCUAAUACCGCAUAAUGCAGCGGCACCUAAUGGUGAUUAGUUGUUAAAGCGGGGGAUCGUAAGACCUCGCGCCUGAAGAGGAGCCUGCGGCAGAUUAGCUAGNGGU